rnacentral:lncRNA from 1 species
CAGAGGAGCCCCAGGUUUGCGUUUCCUUUUGUGCCAUGUGACAGCAUUUAAAAACAACAGCAUCCACAAUGCUGCCUCUUCAGUGGCUAAAUUCCUCGGGACAAAAGAAGGGCCAAGAGUCGCCGGCUUUCCCCUAUCACAUCCACUUUUAUCAAGCUGGAGAGAAAGAUGUAGUUUUGUAUUCUUUUAGAGGAAACUGUUUAUUUAAUUUUGGCUGAAGCACGACGACGCUGCAUCAUUAUCGCUGUGUGCAACAGAGGAAAAACAAGUCAUUCUUUAUUUAGCAGCAGCGACGGUUAAAAAGAAGGGAAGGGGCCGGGGUGAGGCAGGCGGUUAGGGCUUGCAGAGAGAAAGGCGCUUUGGGUUGUCAACGUUUUAGAGGCUUAGAGUCAAACCUAUCCGGGCUCAGGAGAGAGGAGUCUGGGUGUUAGGCAGGCAGAAUGACUCCUGAUAGAAGGAGUUUGCGGCUCAAGUCGAGAGGAAUCGUCUUGGCUCCCGGAUGAGGCGAGGACUAAUUGAUUCUCUGAAGUUUCCUGUCGCAGAGCCCGAUUACAGGUAUGACCGGAUUAAAAAAGGAGAGGGAAAAAAACAAGGGAUCUGGAGGAGGGAAAUGGUAAAAAUCAAAGAGAAAAGAAGAUGAGGGCUGCCAUAGACGGAUCAGCAUUGCUUAUACGCGCUGAUGUGCUUGCUUUUGUGUGAAUUUUGUUUGUGUAUGCGUGUGUACGGGUAUGUUCGUGUGUACACGCCGGUGCAGCUGUGUUUGAUCUCUAUACUCAGUGGCAAUCAUCAGGUCACAUUGCUAGGCCCCUUUCACUUUGGUGCUGCAGAGGAACACAUCGUGUUGUAGCAGCAUGCUUCCCCUAAUCACUCACUUCUGGUUAACACGUCUCAAAGCCAGAGGCAUGUGUCUCGCCUGCCCAUAACAGUCCAUGACAAGAUUGAGUACAGAGGCCCGUGGGAGCCAUAGUGAGGCGGGCUCUAGGAGAGAAGCCUCCAGGAGAAGGAGAGUUAGGACGCAUAUCUAGACCUAAGCUGUCAUGCGUGCGGCUGUAAUGGCUUGUUUAGUGGCAAAGUCCAAUCUAGGGCCCCAGAGAGCCAUUAUUCCUGGAGUAUCGAUCGGGCCCUACGGCCACCACAGCUCGGGCCCCUGUCCCUGAUCCUGUUCAGUAAUAAGCGUACUCAUGUCAAGGUGGUAAUUAUCAUUGAUCUGUAGCUGCUGUGACAGGGCAGCGGCCCCUUGCCAUGAUUCAUACCCGGCAUGGGGCUACUGGACUUCAGGCACCAAAUCACCAACCUCAUAGAAGUAGGCAUCGUGUGGUGGCAGUGCCAAGCCCAGUCCAGGAAACAAAAGUUUACAAAGAUAGAUCUCUGUUUCCUGUUUUUUUUUUUACAUGCAGGUGGCAGUUUUGAAACAGCCAAAUAACUAACGGGGGAGUUUUGUGGGCAUGUUGUCUUAAACCAUAAAUUACCAGAACAAACUCUGAUCUCUUCUCAAUUAGGCAGAGAGGGAGUGUGUAGAAAGUUGAAAUUACUUUCUUUCGUUGUUCCUUGUCCUCUCGAUGUCCUUCCCCUUUGUUGACUAGGGUGCCCCAUCUCUUAGGAGUUAUAAGCACAGAUAUCACUGUUGAUCUGCCUGUAUGUGGUAACCUGUGGGGCAUUAAAUGACCAGAAUAACUUGAUGUUUUUGUGAAUGUUUUUUUAGUAUUAACGCAUUCACUCACAAUCUACAUAAUAAUAAUAACUCGAAAAUUCCCUCUGGGAAAUUUUGAAGGGCCACAGGGGCAACUGCCGGGGUGAGUACAUUAUCAUAAGAUCCUUCAGGGAUUUCAAAUAAUUCAUACUAGUAGCGUUGUGAUAUUACUUACAAAAUCACAGUGAGAUUUUAUAGACACCAUGGUCCCCAAAGGGUGUAAAAACAGUUGCCAACCUCUGUAUUGAUCAUUGUUUUAAAUUGAGAUGGUCAUGGUCCCAAGAGAAUAAGAUACAAUAAGAAGAACUUUAUUGAUCCGACAAAAGGGAAUUCAUUUGUCUCUAAUCUCAUGUGUCAUGUCAUCUACUAUUUGCAGAAGAAUUAAACAGUUUGAUGGUUGUGGGUACAAAAGAUCUUCUUAAUCUUUUUGUCCUGCAGCGAGGUGAGAGGAGCCGUCCACCACCAACAUUUUUUGGUAACCCCUUGCUUGUCAACUAGCAAUCAAAUAGCCUAAUUAUUCACUUAGUGGAUAAAAUACUAAGGACAUACACUUGCCGUAAUUGCAGAAAAUGUGCCGAACAUUUAUUGUCCCCAUAUGAUGUAUCCCUGAGGACUUUGCUGAUUUCUUGACCCAACAACCUCAUAGGUUGGAGUGAAAUAUCUCAACAACUGUAGGAUGCAAUGUGGUAAAAUUCAGCCCAUCGAUUCUUGAGAUUCGUGAUGAAUUGUUCACAUGUGAGCAGCAAAUGUUUCAGCCUGAUAUUUGUGUGAAGAGCAAGAUUCAGAUUCAGAUUCAGAUUCAGACAACUUUAUUAAUCCCCAAAGGGCAAUUCACUUCACAGUAACCCACCUCAUUGUUAAAUGAUCAAAGAACAGACAAAUACCAGACAUUCACAGCAGCAUACAACCCAAACAUUCCCUGUGAGCACCACAAAUCAGCAAUAAAUAAAUAACUAGAUAAUAAAAAUGUGCAAAACGUUCAACUGUGAAAUGACUGAAAUGCAAUAAGAAAUAAUGCGAUACAAAGAGUAAAAUAAGAACGAAAACAAUCCUGAGACCUCAAUUUCAACAACCCAAAAUCCAACACAGGCCACCAAUCCGCUACUUCUCAGCAUUUAGCAAUCUGAUCGCUGAGGGGAUAAAUGAGUUGGAGUACAUAUUCGUUUUUCUCAACAUCCACAGAUAGUUGGUGAAAAAUACUUCCACUCUUCCACUCUUCCAUGGUAGCCAUAGACCUUUAAAAAUAACUAAUUUCAACACAAAAAAUACACACUGGGUAGCCAAAAGUUAACAAGACAAACCAAACUGAACCAAACAGCCGAGUGAACGGUGGGCUUUACUGGCCCACCUUUCAUUGGGCUAUCUCUGAUUGGAUCUAAUUGUGUGACACGCUCACAGUUAGCCCUCCUCUUGAACAGGAUUGACAGAGUAAAUUGAGGACAGGAGAGCAGAGAUAGUCGGGAGACAGAGAAGUAGACGGACCAACACAGAAGUAAAGAGAUGGUGGGGGUUUCAAGGCAGGCAAUCAGUUUUCUUUUUGUGAGCACUGGAGCGGGACUUGUGUCACCUGCAGACCAAACCCCAUUUCCUCUGAUUAAGUCCUUUGAAAUAUUCCAUUUGUCAGUGUCACGGCCCUGGCGUGUUGCUGCGGCGAGCAGCCAGCCGUGUCUGUUGACUGUGUCAUUCUCCAAUUUACAUCAGACACUGACAACAUCAUCAUGUCCCUAAUGUCCCCUCGGCUUGCUCUUGCUCAACCCUUUGCCCGUGUAUUUGAUUUCUCUGUUUUUUUGUCCCCACUGAUACACAAAUCAUCGUUCCUCCUCCUCCUCUGUUUCUCAGCUAAAUGAGAGCUAUCUGGUGAUGUCCGGAUCUAGCCGUGAUUCUCUUGGCAAAGUGAAACUGAAACUGAGAUCUGGAGACCCAACAAAGUUUUCUUCCUCAAGAUUUUUUUUUUUGUUUGUCUGUUUGUGUCUGGAGUACCAACAACUAACAUCACUCAGGCCUCAAACUCUCAUGCAUGUGAUCUAACCCCAUUAGCAUCCAAUGUCUUUCCAGGAGCAGAGCUGGCAUGGUUCAGAGAGGAUGGAAAUUUCAAUCUCCUCUCUAUCAUUUUCCCUAUCAUUACUCCAUUCACAGCCAUUUCUCUCCUUCCUGAGUCCCGAGAGGGAACAGAGCGGCUGAAAAAGGAGGGCACCGUGCACUCAGAGCCCAACUUUAAUAUGAGCGGAGGAAAAAAAGAUAGAGCGGGGGUGUUUAUACAUUAUUAGGAGUCUAUUAUAAAGCUGCUAUCAUAUUCUCCCUCUUCUCUCCCUCUUCCUUUCAUUCCCUCACUCUCCUGACAGGUAGCGAGCGGGCCGCCUUGAUGACUAGACUCAAUCACCUGUGACAGUUUUGAUUUGAUGUCACUCUCUGGGUCGCUCUAUUUGUUUGAGCAGUUAAGAGGUAAUUGUGUGACAUUGGCGGGAGAAGACGUGCUUUGGCGGCGCACCCGCUGAACCGAAGGGACGAGACGAGGGAGUGUGGCAAUAAUAAAUGAGGGCUAUUUUCCCCAGCAUUCCCAGACUGUGUGUAUGAGUGUGUCAGGGUAUGUAUUACAGGGGGUGUGCGUGUCUGUGUUUAGCUGAUGGGGGGGAACAAGAAGGGGUGAUGAGCCCCUCUACCCCUGAGGGAAUUCAACUGUGAGAUGCACAUUGAGGUCGCCAGCAUCCACUCUGAUCAUCACUUUCUUUGGUCUGAACACAAUUGUUUCUGUGCAUGUUUGCUGUUUGUCUAGUUAAGAUGAGUUCAGGUGUCACUCAGGGGAGCCUCUGAUUCCUCAAAAUGUUGACAGGUUGGAACUGAUGAUAUCUUUUUCAUUUAUUUAAUAUUGUAUGUGGACGAUUAUUGUGUAAUUCUGUAAAUGAGAAACCUUUGGCAUGUUUUGUUUCCUGCCUGGUAACCCGUUGUGUUGCUGUUUAUUUAUGUUGUUAGUCCAAGAUAAAGAAUAAUAUCUGAAUGCUUAUCUUUAAUCACUUGCACAAAAAUACUUUGAAGUAACAUGGUGCAGAAGAACCAGUCUGAGGGUCCUUCUGGAGAUUUGUUUUCAUUAGAAUAAGAUGAUGACAAAAGCUACAAGAACACUGGACCUCUAUCUUUUCUAGAAUGUCAGGUUGGCCACACCAUGAGUCGCAGAGCUAUAAUGUUAUGCUCUUAAGGAUAUCAUUGACAUCUCUAACGUGCAAACACCAGGUUGGAAUAGAUCAUUGCCCAUGUAGAGUUUUCAAUCAGAAAGGUAGCUGUUCGUGAGGAAAAAUCUCCUCAAAAAUGUAAAUGUUCUUACAACAACCCUUUCGGUGAACCAAAGUGCUUUACAAUACAUAGAAAAUAAAAAUGAGUAAAUAAAAACAAUAAAAUGACGAUGGCAAUAAAAUAAAGUGCCACCACGCUACUGGGUAUUAAAAGCCAGCAUAAAUAAGUACGUUUUCAAUCGGAUAUGAAAAGGCCCAGGUUGGAAAUAAGUCUCAUUUUGAUGGGGAGCUUCUUCCAGAGCCUGGGACCAGCAACUUAAAAGGCUCGGUCACCCCAGUACUUGUGUUUUGACCUGGGCACCUCCAGUAGAAGUAGAUUUGAUGACCUCAGAGCUCUACCCAGCUCCUGAACGGUUAAAAGCUCAGUUAAAUAGAUGGGGGCAAGGCCGUUAAGAGCUUUAAAAACAAACAUUAAAAGUUUGAAAUCAACCCUAAAACAGACGGGAAGCC